rnacentral:rRNA from 1 species
GAUGAACGCUGGCGGCGUGCUUAACACAUGCAAGUCGAACGGUAACGCAGUGCUUGCUUUGUGUUUCAGUGGCGAACGGGUGAGUAACACAUGAGCAAACUGCCCCCGACUCUGGGAUAAGCGCUAGAAACGGCGUCUAUACCUGGAUAUGGGCUGCGACCGCAUGGUCAGCGGUUGGAAAGAUUUUUCGGUCUGGGAUGGGCUCACGGGCUAUCAGCUUGUUGGUGGGGUAAUGGCUCACCAAGGCGUCGACGGGUAGCCGGCCUGGGAGGGUGACCGGCCACACUGGGACUGAGACACGGCCCAGACUCCUACGGGAGGCAGCAGUGGGGAAUAUUGCACAAUGGGCGAAAGCCUGAUGCAGCAACGCCGCGUGAGGGAUGACGGCCUUCGGGUUGUAAACCUCUUUUGGCUGGGACGAAGCGAUAGUGACGGUACCUGCAGAAAAAGCACCGGCUAACUACGUG